rnacentral:rRNA from 1 species
AGUGAACGCUGGCGGUAGGCCUAACACAUGCAAGUCGAACGGCAGCACAGUAAGAGCUUGCUCUUACGGGUGGCGAGUGGCGGACGGGUGAGGAAUACAUCGGAAUCUACUUUUUCGUGGGGGAUAACGUAGGGAAACUUACGCUAAUACCGCAUACGACCUACGGGUGAAAGCAGGGGAUCUUCGGACCUUGCGCGAUUGAAUGAGCCGAUGUCGGAUUAGCUAGUUGGCGGGGUAAAGGCCCACCAAGGCGACGAUCCGUAGCUGGUCUGAGAGGAGGAUCAGCCACACUGGAACUGGGACACGGUCCAGACUCCUACGGGAGGCAGCAGUGGGGAAUAUUGGACAAUGGGCGCAAGCCUGAUCCAGCCAUACCGCGUGGGUGAAGAAGGCCUUCGGGUUGUAAAGCCCCUUUGUUGGGAAAGAAAAGCAGCAGGUUAAUACCCCGCUGUUCUGACGGUACCCAAAGAAUAAGCACCGGCUAACUUCGUG